rnacentral:rRNA from 1 species
GACGGACCACACAAACGUUAUUCGGAAUUACUGGGCUUAAAGGGUGCGUAGGCUGUGCAGUAAGUUGGGUGUGAAAUCCCUCGGCUCAACCGAGGAGUUGCGCCCAAAACUACUGUGCUCGAGGAAGACAGAGGUAAGCGGAACUUAGGGUGGAGCGGUGAAAUGCGUUGAUAUCCUAAGGAACACCGGUGGCGAAAGCGGCUUACUGGGUCUUUUCUGACGCUGAGGCACGAAAGCUAGGGUAGCGAACGGG